rnacentral:rRNA from 1 species
GAUGAACGCUGGCGGCGUGCCUAAUACAUGCAAGUCGAGCGAACAGAUGAGGAGCUUGCUCCUCUGACGUUAGCGGCGGACGGGUGAGUAACACGUGGAUAACCUACCUAUAAGACUGGGAUAACUUCGGGAAACCGGAGCUAAUACCGGAUAAUAUAUUGAACCGCAUGGUUCAAUAGUGAAAGACGGUUUUGCUGUCACUUAUAGAUGGAUCCGCGCCGCAUUAGCUAGUUGGUAAGGUAACGGCUUACCAAGGCAACGAUGCGUAGCCGACCUGAGAGGGUGAUCGGCCCACCUGGAACGGAGACACGGUCCAGACUCCUAAGGGAGGCAGCAGUAGGGAAUCUUCCGCAAUGGGCGAAAGCCUGACGGAGCAACGCCGCGUGAGUGAUGAAGGUCUUCGGAUCGUAAAACUCUGUUAUUAGGGAAGAACAAAUGUGUAAGUAACUAUGCACGUCUUGACGGUACCUAAUCAGAAAGCCACGGCUAACUACGUG